rnacentral:rRNA from 1 species
GAUGAACGCUAGCGGCAGGCCUAAUACAUGCAAGACGAACGGUAAGUUGAGUAGCAAUACUUGACCUAGAGUGUCGCACGGGUGCGUAACACGUAUGCAACCUACCCAUAACAGGAGAAUUGCUCCCCGAAAGGGGAAUUAACCCUCCAUAGUAUAAUUGGAUGGCAUCAUUUGAUUAUUAAAACUGAGGUGGUUAUGGAUGGGCAUGCGUCUGAUUAGUUAGUUGGCGGGGUAACGGCCCACCAAGACGAUGAUCAGUAGGGGAACUGAGAGGUUGAUCCCCCACACUGGCACUGAGAUACGGGCCAGACUCCUACGGGAGGCAGCAGUAGGGAAUAUUGGUCAAUGGAUGGAAGUCUGAACCAGCCAUGCCGCGUGCAGGAAGAAGGCCUUAUGGGUUGUAAACUGCUUUUGCCAGGGGAUAAAAUAGCUGUGCGCAGCGAAUUGCAGGUACCUGGUGAAUAAGCCACGGCUAACUACGUGCCAGCAGCCGCAGUAAGAC